UACGGAGGGUGCGAGCGUUGUCCGGAAUCAUUGGGCGUAAAGGGCUCGUAGGCGGUCUGUUGCGUCAGGAGUGAAAACUCGGGGCUUAACCCCGAGCCUGCUUCUGAUACGGGCAGACUAGAGGUAUGCAGGGGAGAACGGAAUUCCUGGUGUAGCGGUGAAAUGCGCAGAUAUCAGGAGGAACACCGGUGGCGAAGGCGGUUCUCUGGGCAUUACCUGACGCUGAGGAGCGAAAGCUAGGGGAGCAAACAGG
rnacentral:rRNA from 1 species